rnacentral:piRNA from 1 species
UAGUACUAAGCUAAAUGGUGUUUUGGAAGC